AUACGUAGGGGGCGAGCGUUAUCCGGAUUUACUGGGUGUAAAGGGAGCGUAGGUGGCAUAGCAAGUCAGAAGUGAAAACCAGGGGCUCAACCCCUGGACUGCUUUUGAAACUGCCAGGCUAGAGUGCUGGAGAGGUAAGCGGAAUUCCUAGUGUAGCGGUGAAAUGCGUAGAUAUUAGGAGGAACACCAGUUGCGAAGGCGGCUCUCUGGACUGUAACUGACACUGAGGCACGAAAGCGUGGGGAGC
rnacentral:rRNA from 1 species